UACGUAGGUGACAAGCGUUGUCCGGAUUUACUGGGCGUAAAGAGCGCGCAGGCGGUCGAUCAAGUCGAGUGUGAAAGCCUCCGGCUCAACUGGGGAGGGUCAUUCGAUACUGAUCGACUCGAAGGCAGGAGAGGGUAGUGGAAUUCCCGGUGUAGUGGUGAAAUGCGUAGAUAUCGGGAGGAACACCAGUGGCGAAGGCGACUACCUGGCCUGUUCUUGACGCUGAGGCGCGAAAGCUAGGGGAGCAAACGGG
rnacentral:rRNA from 1 species